AGCGAACGUUUGCGGCGGGCCUAACGACAUGCAAGUCGAACGCACUAGCAAUAGUGAGUGGCGCACGGGUGCGUAACACGUGGGUAAUCAACCCUUCAGCCUGGGAUAACGACUCGAAAGGGUCGCUAAUACCGGAUACGGCGCGAGAGGCUUCGGCUUCUCACGAGAAAGCCACGCAAGGGGGCACUGAAGGACGAGCCUGCGGCCCAUCAGCUAGUUGGUGAGGUAGAGCUCACCAAGGCUAAGACGGGUAGCUGGUCUGAGAGGAUGAUCAGCCACACUGGAACUGAGACACGGUCCAGACUCCUACGGGAGGCAGCAGUGGGGGAAUAUUGCGCAAUGGGCGAAAGCCUGACGCAGUCACGCCGCGUGAGCGAUGAAGGCCU
rnacentral:rRNA from 1 species